rnacentral:lncRNA from 1 species
UCGGACAAGAAGUGUUAUGCAUUUGUAGUAGGAUAUAAUAUACAUCAAUCACGUGCAAUGUAUCAAACUUCAACCUAGAGCCAUAUUGGACUCCAAAACUACAUUCAAACUAUGUCGGAGUACGUAGCAGUGCAAAGCAUAGGCCCAGAAUAGUUUCCUCUCACGCAUUAAUGCAAACACACUUGGGGAACAAAGUGCUAGCGAUAUAUCUUAAAAUUUUACAGGAAGCCAAGUUUCCAUAGCUACACAGAUUCAUGGUAAGAGACACAAAAAAUUCUUCGCCUCCAAAUCAUACUGGUAUACUAGCGCCGGAUGGACGAGUUCGCACCAGCGUUUCUUCUUCUGCAACCACACCACCACCCGCCCGCGGCCGCUUCAAACUCCAUUUUCCGCUUCUUCAAAAGGACAAACUCUGUCGAACGGACACUGUGUGAGGUGAUGGAGUGCUUGCACAGGAGGCGAUAGAUGGACUGCUCGCAAGUGAGGUGACGAACUUCUCCUGGUGCACCAAGCACUGACGGGCAGCAGCGGCUUCGUGCUCGGACGGAGACGAGAUUUGGAAAGUGGCAUUUUUCAGGCAUCGUGUGGAAGCCUGCAUCCUUUCCUGAACCUUGACAGUGUACCAAAUAACUUGUAUUAUCAGUAUAUGUUCACAGUACAGAUCAUGGCUCAUAGACUUGGAGGAUUGCAAUAUAAUUAGGCAAAAUGGGAAUCUUUUCAACAGAACAUGUGCUCUGAACAUCAACAUACCGCUACUGUUAUGCAACUGGGUGACGCGGAACUGAAGAUGAGCGCAGUGGCUUGGUCGUGGGCGAAGUACGGGCACUGGUCGCGCCCAAUGGCAAGGGCAGUCCUGUCUAGGCAACCAGUGAAGGUCGGGGAGGUGGGGGAAGGGGUGGGACGCCGGAGGUAGAGAAGGAGAAGAGGAGGCUCACCGGAGGGGAGGGUUGCGGGGUUGUCCGGAUCCGCGUCGGAGCAAGCGGGCGGGAGGGAGGGUGCCCAGGCUAAUGGUUGUCGGGCUUCGUCGACGGCGAUGGUUGCGGGGCAGAGCCGCGCCCGUAG